GCGUGCUUAACACAUGCAAGUCGAGCGGUAAGGCCCUUUCGGGGGUACACGAGCGGCGAACGGGUGAGUAACACGUGGGUGAUCUGCCCUGCACUUCGGGAUAAGCCUGGGAAACUGGGUCUAAUACCGGAUAUGACCUCCGACUGCAUGGUUGGGGGUGGAAAGGUUUACUGGUGCAGGAUGGGCCCGCGGCCUAUCAGCUUGUUGGUGGGGUAAUGGCCUACCAAGGCGACGACGGGUAGCCGACCUGAGAGGGUGACCGGCCACACUGGGACUGAGACACGGCCCAGACUCCUACGGGAGGCAGCAGUGGGGAAUAUUGCACAAUGGGCGAAAGCCUGAUGCAGCGACGCCGCGUGAGGGAUGACGGCCUUCGGGUUGUAAACCUCUUUCAGCAGGGACGAAGCGAGAGUGACGGUACCUGCAGAAGAAGCACCGGCCAACUACGUGCCAGCAGCCGCGGUAAUACGUAGGGUGCGAGCGUUGUCCGGAAUUACUGGGCGUAAAGAGCUCGUAGGCGGUUUGUCGCGUCGUCCGUGAAAACUUGGGGCUCACCCCAAGCUUGCGGGCGAUACGGGCAGACUUGAGUACUGCAGGGGAGACUGGAAUUCCUGGUGUAACGGUGAAAUGC
rnacentral:rRNA from 1 species